rnacentral:lncRNA from 1 species
GUAGUUUAUGGAGGGAUCUACCCCCAUAAUAAUAUAAUACGUAGGUACCAUAUCAUACUUCAUAUCAGUGUAACGCUUGCAAAUCCUUUUUUUUUUUUUUUUUUUUUUUGACCCUGUGAAACAUUCUGUCAGAGUCCUGAGUGCAUUAAUAAGUUUCAAUGACCCUGACUGCCUCACCUGUGUCCCCCCCACACCCAGGGCCACCUGAGCUCAGCCUGGGGGCAGCUGGUCCCUGCCACAGCUGUACCUGGUGAGUCCCCAGCCUGCCUUGAGCCAGACCUCCACCUGUGGGUUGACCUCCAUCUUGACCUCUUUGUGACCCUAAUAUUGCAUUAUGUUCUCAGUGCUUGGUGGGAUUUGGUUUCCAUCUCCAGUGUUGCAUCACUUGCCUUGCUUAGGUACUUGGAGAUGUGCUCUGGCUGAAGAGGUCUCUUCUUGACCUUCCAUGGGGUGUCCUCUGCUCUGGGUUGUCCUCCUAUUAGACAGCAGUCCUGCUUGGGUGGCUCCAUCCCAUGCUGAUCUGAGAAAACUUCCCCCGGCAAGGAAGGUGGGACUGGAACUGUGGUUGAGUAUACCUUCGGGGAGAAGCAACAGGUCUGGAACGGAUAUUAUGCAAACCCUACAACUCUACUGGUGCACGCUGCCUUGCAGGGAAUGA